rnacentral:tRNA from 1 species
CGCGGGGUAGAGCAGCUGGCAGCUCGUCGGGCUCAUAACCCGGAGGCCGCAGGUUCGAGUCCUGCCCCCGCUA